rnacentral:tRNA from 1 species
GGUAGUGUGGCCUAAUGGAUAGGGCACUAGACUGCAACUUGGACAAUAGAUUGGGUUCAAUUCCCAGCUCUACCA